rnacentral:lncRNA from 1 species
CAACUACUUAAUAUAUAAAUUACAUUCAACGGCACCGAUCAUCGAUUUAGAGGUUCUAUCAUAAAAAAUAAAUGGAUGAUAACGGUACUCAUUUGCUACUAAUAAUAUUACAGCUCAACUCUCUCUUUCUAUAUAUAUAUAUAUAUGUAGAGAGAGAAAAAGAAUUGGGCUGGAAUACUAUUGAUAGUAUGUGCUCUCUUUUACUAUCAAAUUUUUAACUUUUGGAUGAAAAAUUGUAGGGUUAGAAUGAUAUUAGUCCCUUAAGGUUGAGUGGUCCUCACUGGAUUAUAAUAUUUAAUCCAAUAAUUAGAAAUGAUCAAAGAAAUUGAUCCAAGGGUUAAAAAUUUAAUAGCAAAGGAGAUAAAUACUAUUAAUAGUAUUCUAGCUCAACUCUAUAAUUCUAAUCCUAUAAUUUUUUAUUCAAGAGUUAAAAAUUCGAUAGCAAAAGAAUCCCAAUACUAUUAAUAGUAUUUCACCCUAAUUAUAGACUUGUAUGUUAUUAGGAGCACGGAAGCCUCCGUGCUCCUAAGUAAUUUUCAGUGAUGAAACUUUUGAAUCGAUGAUCGGCUCUAUUAGAUUUGAUCUAGUGUAUUUGAUUAAUUAUUAGAAAAUAAAUUUUACAGAUUUUCGUUAUCAUUUACCUAGUGAUUGAAGGAUUUAAAAUCAAUAAUUUUUAAUGGUUGAUGUGUACCAUUUGUAAGUUUAACGGUGUAGAAGUAUUCAAAUUAGAUGAAAUUUUGAUAUAAAAUUUUUUAUACUAUCUAUAGCAAGAUCAAUAUCUCUGAUUGAAAAUUUUCGUAUUAUAUCAUAUCUUUUUGUGAGAUUUUUAAUUUUAACCGUUAAUUUUGAGUCCAUUCAAUCAUUAGGUACAUAAUAUCAAAAAAUCACAAAAUGUAUUUUCUAUAUACUUCAAAGAUACUAGAUCAAGUCUAACAGAGCCGAUCGUUGAUUCGUAAGCUCCAUCAUCGAAAACAACUUUAGAGCACGAAGCCUUUGUGCUCUUAAUAACACACAAGUCCUCUCUCUCUCUCUCUCUCUCUCUCUCUAUAUAUAUAUAUAUAUAUGUAUAGAGUCCGGCUACUAUACUCUAAUGAGUACGCUGGUACUCAUAAGUUAUUUUCGAUGAUAGAGCUUCCGAAUCGACGAUCUACACCGUUAAACAUUAUUUAGAGUAUUUAAAACAUCUAGAAAUCAAAUUUUAUAAUUUUUCGACAUCAUUUACCUGACAAUCAAAAGCUCACAAAAUUGACAAUUUUUAACGGCCGGUAUGAGAUAUUUGCUAGUUUAACGGUGAAAAAGAAUCGGAAUAGGUUGAAUUUUUGAUAGAAAAUUUUAUUCACUACCUAAAUAAAGAUCAAU